AUUAAGCGGAGGAAAAGAAACUAACAAGGAUUCCCUCAGUAGCGGCGAGCGAACAGGGAUGAGCCCAGCGCUGAAUCCCGCGGCCGGCAUCGUCCGUCGGGAAAUGUAGCGUUAGGGAGGAUCCGUUUAACCGGCGGCGCGCGGCGCGUUCAAGUCCAUCUUGAAUGGGGCCAUACACCCAGAGAGGGUGCCAGGCCCGUAGCGACCGCCGUCCGCGCUGCCGGUGGGUCUCUCCUCAGAGUCGGGUUGCUUGAGAGUGCAGCUCUAAGCGGGUGGUAAACUCCAUCUAAGGCUAAAUAUGACCACGAGACCGAUAGCGAACAAGUACCGUGAGGGAAAGUUGAAAAGAACUUUGAAGAGAGAGUUCAAGAGUACGUGAAACCGUUCAGGGGUAAACCUGAGAAACCCGAAAGGUCGAAAGCGGAGAUUCAACUGUCUGUCGUGUGAUGUCCGGCGUCGUUGGGGCGAACGCGAGUUCAGUGAACUGAGACGAUGGUGCGCUUGCGCGUCUCCUCGGAGGCGACGUACUGUUGCACUUCGCUCGGCCUCGACGCACGUGACCUGGCCGCGAAGGCAUGCACUUCUCCGUUAGUAGGACGUCGCGACCCGUUGGGGCGCCGGUCUAAGGCUUGUCGCGUAGACUGGUCUCGCGCGUUUACGCGCGCGGGACGCAGACCGACUCGUUUCCCGGCCGUGCCCCCGACGGUAUAACCGAACGGACGGCGAUGGGUCGCUGCUAAUUUUUUGGCGCGUUCGUGCGAGCGCAAGUGCGUGCGCGUUUAUCGGCCUCGUGCCGUCGGCGGUCGGACCUGGUGCCGGCUCCGGACGCGCAUCACUGUUGGCGUUUCGCGUCUCGAACGGGCCCGCGCUCGCGCGUUUCGGCGCGCGGGCACGCCGUGUCGGCGACGCUAUAGCUUUGGGUACUUUCAGGACCCGUCUUGAAACACGGACCAAGGAGUCUAGCAUGUGCGCGAGUCACUGAGUGUCUCGACUAAACUCAAAGGCGAAAUGAAAGUGAAAGCGGCCGCGCGUUUCGGCGCGCGGUCGCCGAGGGAAGAUCGGUCGCGUGCGCUUUCGCGUCCGCGGCCGCGCAUUCCCGGGGCGUCUCGUUCUCAUUGCGAGAUGAGGCGCACCUAGAGCGUACACGCUGGGACCCGAAAGAUGGUGAACUAUGCCUGGUCAGGACGAAGUCAGGGGAAACCCUGAUGGAGGUCCGUAGCGAUUCUGACGUGCAAAUCGAUCGUCGGAACUGGGUAUAGGGGCGAAAGACUAAUCGAACCAUCUAGUAGCUGGUUCCCUCCGAAGUUUCCCUCAGGAUAGCUGGCGCUCGCGUUCGCGCGCGCCCCGUGCGCGUGCGUUCACGAGUCUCAUCUGGUAAAGCGAAUGAUUAGAGGCCUUGGGGCCGAAACGACCUCAACCUAUUCUCAAACUUUAAAUGGGUGAGAUCUCCGGCUUGCUUGAACUAGUGAAGCCGCGAGACAAAUUAUGGAUCGAGAGUGCCAAGUGGGCCACUUUUGGUAAGCAGAACUGGCGCUGUGGGAUGAACCAAACGCAAAGUUAAAGCGCCUAAAUAGACGCUUAUGGGAUACCAUGAAAGGCGUUGGUUGCUUAAGACAGCAGGACGGUGGCCAUGGAAGUCGGAAUCCGCUAAGGAGUGUGUAACAACUCACCUGCCGAAGCAACUAGCCCUGAAAAUGGAUGGCGCUGAAGCGUCUUGCUUAUACUUUGCCGUCAGCGGCAUUGUUGGCGUUCGCCGCGGUUUAAUCGCCCGGCGAUCGUCGUGAAGCCCUGACGAGUAGGAGGGUCGCGGCGGUGAGCGCAGAAGGAUUGGCCGCGAGGCUGUCUGGAGCCGCCGUCGGUGCAGAUCUUGGUGGUAGUAGCAAAUACUCCAGCGAGGCCCUGGAGGACUGACGUGGAGAAGGGUUUCGUGUGAACAGCCGUUGCACACGAGUCAGUCGAUCCUAAGCCCUAGGUGAAAACCGAUGUUGAUGUGGUGUGUUUUUAUAAUAAUAAAAAAAUAAAUAUAUUUUAUAUAAUGAAAGAAAGAAAAAGUAUUUUUUAUGACAUUUCGGAAAGAGGAAGAAUGUAAAAGAGAAACGAAAAAAAUGAAUAACAGAGAAAGAACGCAUAAGAGAAAUCGCGCCGACGGCGUUAUAGUGUUUUUCUUUGUUCUUUUUUAAUUUUUAUUUUUUUUCUAAUAAAUUUCUCGUUUCUUCCUAUGAUACGUUCCGAUUAUGUUUUUUAAAUUUUUCUCAAUAUAUAUAUUUUAUUCUGUUUGUAUUACACCCGUCGGGCGAAAGGGAAUCCGGUUCCUAUUCCGGAACCCGGCAGCGGAACCGUUAACAAGUCGGGCCCUCGCAAGAGAGUUCGUCGGGGUAACCCAAAAUGACCUGGAGACGCCGUCGGGAGAUCCGGGAAGAGUUUUCUUUUCUGCAUGAGCGUUCGAGUUCCAUGGAAUCCUCUAGCAGGGAGAUAUGGUUUGGAACGCGAAGAGCACCGCAGUUGCGGCGGUGUCCGGAUCUUCCCCUCGGACCUUGAAAAUCCAGGUGAGGGCCACGUGGAGGUCUCGCGCCGGUUCGUACCCAUAUCCGCAGCAGGUCUCCAAGGUGAAGAGCCUCUAGUC
rnacentral:rRNA from 1 species